rnacentral:rRNA from 1 species
AUUGAACGCUGGCGGCAUGCCUAACACAUGCAAGUCGAACGGCAGCGGGUCGUAGCAAUACGAUGCCGGCGAGUGGCGGACGGGUGAGGAAUACAUAGGAAUCUACCUCAACGAGGGGGAUAACGUAGGGAAACUUACGCUAAUACCGCAUACGACCGAGAGGGGAAAGCGGCGGACCGCAAGGCGUCGCGCGGGGAGAUGAGCCUAUGUCGGAUUAGCUAGUUGGCGGGGUAAUGGCCCACCAAGGCGACGAGCGGUAGCUGGUCUGAGAGGAUGAUCAGCCACACUGGAACAGAGACACGGACCAGACUCCUACGGGAGGCAGCAGUGAGGGAUAUUGGUCAAUGGACGCAAGUCUGGACCAGCCAUGCCGCGUGCAGGAUGACGGUCCUAUGGAUUGUAAACUGCUUUUGUACGAGAAGAAACAACAUUACGUGUAAUGUCUUGACGGUAUCGUAAGAAUAAGGAUCGGCUAACUCCGUGCCAGCAGCCGCCGUAAUAC